GUUUGUUUUUACUUUUUUUUUUUUUUUUUUUCCUUGCUUGAUUUUUUAAUUUUGGCUCGUACGGUUCCGUUCUGUUCCGCCUUGGCGCCCUCGGCCGCGGGGGCAAUGUUUUUGUUUUCGUUCUACGUUCAGGUGUUGGGUGGCGACGUAUUAACCGUCGAUAACCAGCUGAAGCAGCUCAAGUUCUCGAGUGGAACGAGGUUGACCGUGCGCAGUGGCAGCCGUUGACAACAAAAACAAUGUAUGCACUCAGCUUCGCCGGAUGAGUGCCGGCGUCGAUCGCGAACCGCCAGAGCCGCCAAAUACCUCUCGUACAUCUCCAAGAACACCAAGAACAGGAGGUAUUCAUAAAGGUCUGAACCACGCGAGGAUCGUCUCGAAGCAUGGUAGCCUCACCAGACGCUUGCCGCCACACGCGAGGAGAAAGCAGGAGGCCCGAAGUUUGAAUGUGAAGAGGAGGUGCGAAGAGCUGGCCCUCACUUUUUCAAGGCAGCCGCAGAACACUACGAGCCCCGAAUCACUGCCGCGGCUGACUCACGCGGAUGCUGUGCUGCACCCUGCACUGCACAUGGUUCGAAGCACACUUCAGGGGACCAGUGCAUGCCCCUGAUGCAUCGUCGCGGUAUGUUUUGUACUGCUUUUCCUAGCGGUGCACUGAGCAGUCCAAUCUUGAAGGGAGCACGCGAGUGCGUAGCCAGUGCUCCAUGCAGCGAGGACCGCAAGCACCCGCGGAAGCUUGGAGCACACGCAGUGACGCCAGCAGCCGUGCACGCUGGCGUCGUCUGCUACUGUACCGUCCUUUCGUUCGGUGCGCAGAAAAAAAAAGGAGUGACCGCUCUGUUAAAAGUCUGAUGGUGAAGGCAUCCUUUACAGAAGCACUGUAUGGCUCUCUGCACGCUAGAAUGGGGGCUGUCGUUGAUGCUCGCAGAGGCGUCGCCCACAACUAAGCAGACGACCAAAGUCCUGAGCAGGUGACUAAUCGUUUCAUUGUUCUUUGGUAGGGAAAGGUAGAUAAUGUGCUUCUACUCCCAGCUUUGUUUUUUUUUUUUUUUUUAUCACCAUUUAGUAUGUUACCAUCAAAACAGCAUCCUGGUGUUCACAUAAAUAUGUGUUAACAAUACCUAUCGUCAAAUAUGUGACUCAAAGAGCCAACUGCGGCCGAGGAUAUCUUUUAAGUGUUCUUUUUCUCACAAAGAUCCCUGGCAUCUGGCAUUGACUUUUUAGCCACGUACCUUGAGUCCACAAAAACAAUGUACUUCAGCUAAAUGGUAUUCACACAAAAUACAUCCUGACAAGCUGCUUUCACUCUCGAGCCUCGAAGAAAUUUUGCAGUUUGAUUUGAACUAUGUUGUAGGUUAAGGAGGUAGGGUCAGGGAAAAGAAGGUGGGAGAGGAGGAAGCGGGCACAAUGCUGGUCAAACCCUCUCCCUUCGCCGGCGCUGCAUCCAUCUCGUCCUCUCCCACCUUCCUUUUUCUUCCCCUACCUUCUUGAGUUGUCACCGACCAUAUAAAAGGCAUGCAUUGAUAUCACUUGUUCGUUUUGUGGCCAUGGCGCCAGCAAGGUUUGAGAAACGUAUCCUGCUUCACAGGAAUUCAGCACUCAACAUGGAGAAACUAUUGGCAGUGCUGCUGUAAUGUCUUUGUCCUCGUCUUUUGCAGCCAUCUAAAAAAGAGAAAUAUAAUACUAGGAACACAGAGCAACGUCACGCGCCAGUACAUAGUGUACUACGAAGGGCAGGUAAAUUGACUGCGGAACACGAUUUUCUCAAUGUCCUCACGGUUCUUUCGGCCAAGUACAUACAGAUAAGACGAUUACCAUUAGAAAUGUUGAACGCCAAUCCGAAAUGUUUUUUGGCGGUGUGCCGAGCAAAAGGACAUUGCUGCAACAGAAAACAUGUGCCAUCCUCUGCCUUUGGUGCUUCUGUGUCUGCGCCGAGCUUCCGCAGCCACCAACAGUCAACGCUGCAUGGACUGCCCGCCAUGCUUUCAUGCGUUCCAUGUAUGAUUGGCACGGCAUGUGGAUGUGUCAUGCAAGUGACAUCAGCGCUGUUGGCAGUGCCAUGCUGGUUGAGCUUUGCUAGGCUCUGACCAUUGACAAGCUGUUUUAUGCAAUAAUCGCUCUUGGAAGUCCCCAAACUGUUUUUAGCAAUUCAAGUGUCAGAUUUUUUUUAGCUAUGGUUAUACAGGUUUUCUUUUUUAACAUUUACAGAUUUCAAAGAAAAAGUGAAAGUUAUGACAGUUAUAAGUUAUACGGCCAGGCGGACAUUAGAUUCAUGGAAGAAUGCAGCUAAAAGUCCGUGUAGAUCAUGUGUAUCAUGCUUCUCUACAGCGCAGCUACAUACUUGCGUAGGACAACCCCCAUGAAGUGGGGUGGGGGGGCUGCAUGCGUGUGUUGGGAGCCCCUCUUGGUUUUACAACUCUACCCUGAUGUAAAAUUUUAGAUUUUAAUGCGAACAAGUUGAUAACAAAAAAGAACUUGGUCAACAUUGAUCUUACAACUAGAGAUGUAAAAGGAACAAAAAUAGAGAACAGCAAAAUGUGGAAGAAGACAUCUCGCUUCUUUCAUUUUCAUUUGACUAAGUGACAUUGGUCGGCGACUGUAAGACUUUUAAUCAUAAUAGUUAUACACCACAGGUCCCGGGGAUCAUGGCAUCGAUGAGCUCGCUUUCGCCUUGUCCAAGGUAGCAGCGGAACACUACGGGCAGGCCCGGAGUCACCGCACCGGCUGGCUCACGGGCGUCGUCCUGUACUCUGCACGGCACUGCGUGUGGCUUAAUCGGCCAAGCAGAGGGUCACUGCAUGACCUUUAUGAGGCGUCGCUAGCCAUUGUUUCAAAUCGUCCUGAUUCAUGGGCCAAGCCUUUCAAGACUGCACUCUUAGGCCCAGUCCUUUUUGGUGGAUCGGAUCUUGCCAUCUUCCCCUCUCGUGGCUUCCUGUUGUACUUAAAUAAAUUGUCAUAUUUUUUUCUUAUGGUGGUGCAUACGUUUUGCCACACUUCACAAAAACAGUGUGGUGAAUCCAUGCCGCAGAUUACUGUGAAACGUGCAGGAAGGGUAAACUCCGAAAAGGUUUAUGGAAAGAAGAUAGACAUCCCCCAUUAAUUUUUUCUGGACACUCUAAGCGUGCUAUCUACGCAGUAUUUCU
rnacentral:misc_RNA from 1 species